UACGUAGGGUGCGAGCGUUGUCCGGAAUUAUUGGGCGUAAAGAGCUUGUAGGCGGUCUGUCGCGUCUGCUGUGAAAACUCGGGGCUUAACCCCGGGCCUGCAGUGGGUACGGGCAGACUAGAGUGCGGUAGGGGAGACUGGAAUUCCUGGUGUAGCGGUGAAAUGCGCAGAUAUCAGGAGGAACACCGGUGGCGAAGGCGGGUCUCUGGGCCGUAACUGACGCUGAGGAGCGAAAGCAUGGGGAGCGAACAGG
rnacentral:rRNA from 1 species